GUGUGACCUCACGCCGUCAUUAGUAACUCGGGCAGGGGAGGGAUUCGGGGAGGUCUCAUCAAUUUGGGCCUGAGGAAAAUUCAGGUGGAAGACAAUUAAAUAACUAACCACCUCCGCAAGGUGCAGAACUCAAACCCAAGUCUCCCUCCCACGCCCUGGGCUCCAGGGAAGCCCUUGGGUGUUGUUGUUGAAACAGGACGAGGCGUGACCCCGGGUCUGCGUUGUUUGGCGUGGGUUCUCACUAUGUUGCUUAAGCUGGUCCAGAACUCAAGCCAGUCUCUCACUUCAGCCUCUUGAGUCGUUGGGAUUACAGAAGCCACCAUGUCCAACUAGACAAGAUCUUGUUGCCCAGGCUGGUCUCAAACUCCUGCGUUCAAAUGAUACUCUCGCCUUGGCCUCCAAAAGUGUUGGGAUUGCAGACCUGAGCUACUAUGCCUGGCUGAAUUCUAUUUCUAUUGGAUUGGUUGUAAAGAAGUGCAUUGUAGCCUGCAAAGGAGCAGGGCCAGUGGGGUGGAGAGGGCAGAAGUGCUACAGAGGCCCCUGCUCUCCACUGCCCUGACUGCUACUGUGCUGGAUGCCGUGUGAACCACAGCUGCAUCUGGAGGCCUUGGGCAGCACCUAACAGGAAGCCAGAGUAGGUCCUCUGAAGGUGUUUGUUCAAUGAACUUGUCAUCCUCCUCAACUUAAAGCCUUUAGCUUUUCCAAUUUGGAGGCACAAAUAAGUGAGAACUUGGGGAUCCACUGAGGUCUGAGGCACGGUGGUACCAGAGGAGAUGAAGGGGCUUUCAGCAUGAAGCUGGUCCCCUGUCGACAGCACGCUGAUUUUCCCGUUGGGCUCUAUCAGCAUGUCCACUGUGAGACCAUGCUUGUGAAAAUACCAGGACGGUAAAUUAGUGAAUUCCAAAGUCAGGAUUUUUGUUGGAUCUGGCACAGUCACAGGAAAGUCUGAGUUUUCUCAAGGGCAUCCCUGUCUCACCGAGGGGCACCAAGGACAGACGACCAGAAGCAAAUGGCGCAGUCACCGUCAGAGGAGAGUAAAACUCAUUCUGAAACGGUUCCAAAUGCCCAUGCCUGCUCUGUGGUUUUCAGCAAAGCGGACCUUUCCAAAAGACCUCCAACAGGGACUUCCUGGAUGUGAGAACACUAACCAAUUCUCGUUCCUCUCAUCUUUUGCUUUAUUCCUUCCUUCCAUGCUGUUAUUGCGAAAAACUGGUAGUUAAAUUCAAUUGAUUCAAAAUAUUCGGGAUCCAUAUGGCCGCCAACCCUGGAGCUGAAGCGGCGAUAGCGCCUCACUGCUGUUUUCAAGCAUUUGCCUCUCCUCCAGUCCCCAGAUGGUGGGAGUAACAUUUAAACCUCCUUUUCUCUGCCUUGUACAAUAGACCUUGGCACCAUUUCAACUGUUUACUCCGGUAAUUAACAGCUCUGAUACCACAACAAUUACAACUCCUACACUCUCACCACAAUAAUGCUAUGAAUUAGUGAGAGCUAAUGGCUGGAAGGUAGAGUGUUUCCAGACUGUGGGAUCUGUGCAUUUUUAGAAUAAAAUAAAAGGUACAAACAGCACGCUUGCAGUAGACAAUGAUUACCUAGUAAUUAGUUUACACAAAGCUUCCUAUUUAAUGGCAAAACGCUGUAAUUAACGUGUGACAGAAAAUCAAAGGGUACUUUGUAAGCAUAUUAAAAAUUAACACUGCAGGCCCAUAGCUUUAUGUACUGAUUAGAAGCAUAUUAAAUCAAUAGGACACACAAACCAACAGCUUGGGUAGCUGAUUAUUAUAGGUCCUCAGAAGGGGUACCCUGGCUUUCAUUUCACUUGGGGAGGCAAUUUUCCUUCUCCUGUCAUCUUCCUCAGGCACAGAGAAACACCUCAAACUCAACCCUGGCAGCUUCAUGAAAAUAACCACUGAACUGGAAGAAAACAUUCUAAGUCAUUCUCAGAGAUGAAGACAAAUAUGUAAAUGAUUAAGACUUUCCAAUGAUUGUGGUGACGUGCUGCUACACUAAUUAGAAAAUACACCAACUGGAACCAGAAAAUAAAGCCACUGGGUUGCAAUCUUCCGGUCAGAAUAAUCUCUACUUUGUCAAGCCUCUUUAUUCAACUCAUAGAAAGUUCAAAUAAAUGGAACUGUUUUAUAUUUCUAAAUGAUAAGAAAGCAGGCUGCUAUGAAGACUUAUUCUUUCCAAGGCACUGUCUGGGUAAAGCAUAGGCUGGGAACAACUGGAUCAACCAACAUUCUGUAUCUUCAACAGCCACAACCCCAUAUAAUGAUGGCUGAUGGACAUAGACAGCAAUAUCCUGGAAGCCUACCAGAGCCUAAAGAACCUUCUGAAUCACCAAAGAAAGAUUAAGUUGUAUGUACUUGUUCAAUGUUACCUGUAUUUUGUUAUAAUACAAUUUUAUGGUAAUAAUAACAACAAUAAUAAUAGGUAGCAUUUCUUAAAGUCUUAUUAUGUGCUAAGCACACUGCUAGCCAAUUCAUAGAAUUAUCUCAUUUACUUGUCACCACUUCCCCAUGAGACAGGUACUAAUCUCUCUUUACAGAUAGAGAAAGGGAGACUUGGAGAGCUGAAGUAAUUUGCCUAUAGUUAUCCCCCAGGGAGCAUGGGAGUCUAACCUAGGUGUCCCUGGCUAUGGAACCCCAGGAAGCCAAACUACCUCUUAGUUACCCUGAAUGACUAGCCUGUUCCAACACUCAUUCUGCUUAAAAGGCAGUUUACUAUGUCAACCUGGAAUAGGAGACUAAAAAAAUUAAAACAAAAACAAAAUAUUUGGUUGCUUAUUUUUUUAAAAAACAGGGUGUUUCUGCUUUUAGAGAUAGGAGUCUUGUUCUGUCACCCAGGCUGGAGAGUGGUGGUGCAGUCAUGACUCAUUGCAGCCUCAAACUCCUGGGCUCGAGUGAUCCUCUUUCUUCAGGCUCCUAAGUAGCUGGAACUACAGGCACACACCUAAUUUUUAAAUUUUUUGUAGAGAUAGGGUCUCACUAUAUUGCCCAGGCUGGUCUUGAACUCCUGGCCUCAAGCCAACUCCCACCUCAGCCUUCCAAAGUGUUGGGAUUACAAAAUAUUACAGGAGUGAUCGACUGCACUGGGCUAAAAACAAGGGUUUUAAAUGCUUACCAUAUUUUUAAUGCUACAUCUGAUUGUGAAGGUGGGCUACUCAAAGCUUUUUGGGAAUUUACAGGCUCACUAAAAUGAUCACGAUAGUGUAUUAAAUUGAGAAAGGCAUUGAAAAUCUGUCAUUCCCAUGAACAACCAAAGGGUGAUGUCUAAAAUUCUCUCUCAUCACCCAUGCACAUAACCAGGUAUAUGAGGCAGUUGGGUUGCAAGAGCUGAAUCCUAGAAACUCCUAGGCAGGGCUCCUCCUCUCCAGCUCUGAGGUGUGUGUAUUGAUGGCCCCCUACACCUCCCAGUUUGCUGCCUUGUGGGAAAAGGAGACCAGCUCUUCUGUUAUCUAGGAAAGGGAAGAAAUUUGAGAGCAGUGGCCUCUGUGUUCCAGGAAUAUUUGCGUUUCCCACAAAUCUCUGGAAAGCAGAAAGCUUGCCACAAGGGCAGCACACGGUAUGAGUCACAAAGGCAAGGACCUGAGGGAGAACACUUCCCAGGACUUUCAAAUAAGGUCUUUCCUAAAUGUACUUGGCUCAGUGUGGCAAAAGCACUGGGCUAGCAGCAGUCAGAUGUGGGUUCAAAGCAAGGCACAAUCAUUUAUUAGCUAUAAAUUUGGGCAAGUCACUUCUUGAGAAUAAGUUUCUUCAUCUGUAAACAGAAGUAAUACCUUCCUUAUAUCUUAAAUUGGUGUGGAAGUAAAUGAGUAAAAACCUCAGGGUUUUUCUGAGUUUAAAUGAGACAAUUCAUGUAACGUGCUUAGCACAAUACCUGGUACCCAGUAGGUACUCUGCAGUAUUUAUUGAUGAUGAUGAUGAUGAUGAUGAUGAUGAUGAUGAUGACAAAGAAAUACAAGGAAAUGUCAACACCUUAACAGUGCAUUCAUAGAUCUACAAAAUGCUUAAUCUCAGUGUUCUGGCAACCACUAAAUACAUAAAGAUAAUCUAAGACAUCAAGAUUUCAACAUAUAAAAAUAAAUAUAAAAACAAGUGAACAAUAAUCAUUUAUAUGUAGUUUCAUGACUGGAAAAAAUAAUAACCUAGAUUUUUUCUUAACCUAGAAAAUCUAGAUUAAAAAAUAAAGAUCUUGCAUUUUUGAUAUAAAACACAAAUAAUAAGGACAUGAAAAAAGAAUAUCCCUUGCUAGUAAUCAAAUAAUAGCAAUGAGAAGCUGGAUUCUUAUAUCUAAAAUAAAAGUGCAAAUAGUUCAUAAUAUCCAUUGGUGGUAAGGUUGUGGUAAAACUAGUAUUCUUAUUCUCUGCCAGUUGCUUUGGAAAUUGGUACUAUCUUUUUAGGAAUAUGGCAAUAUGUAACAAAAGCCAUAAAAUAUUCUACUCCUGGGUCUUUCUCCUCGGGAAGUAACUCAACAGAAGCAAAAAGAGGUGUAUACAAAAACCAAAUAUAAAAACAAACAAAUCUUUCCUCCCUCUUUCCUCCCACUGCCAAAAAAUGAAAGCUGGGAAUAGCCUAAAUUUCCAACUUAGUUGAAUUGUUCAAUAUAUUAGAGUUCAUCAAUAUGAGAGAAUAUUAUGCAUCUAAUAAUUGUGACGACUAUGUAUAAACAUGGAAAAUAUUUAAGAUCUGAUGUUUAACUAGCAUAUACACUAUUAUUGUAGCUAUGAGAAAGAAAUACUGCAUAUUUAGAAAUUAAUAUACAAAAAUGAAAACAACUAUGUUUGGGGACAGUGAUUAUGUACUUUUAAAUUUUUUUUAAUCUUGUUAUCUUUAAACUUUUCUAAAAAUGAUGUGAUUACAAGCAAUGGCUCUUUGGGAUCACCUAAUAAAUACCUACUAAAUUCUAGACGGGACAACGAGCUCUGCCAUCCUGCAAUGGCUCCUGUGACCUAGUUCCAGGGCCAUUCUGAAUGGACAGAGGUCUUCACAAUGGAGGUGGAGAUGCAGGGAGCUCUAUGGCAUGAAAUGGUUAAUGAUUCUCUUUUGUAAUUGUGUUUUCUGUUUGCUGCCUUAGUUCUAAAAGGAGGCAAAACAACUGUGGUUUAUUCUACCUUUUCCAGGCAUAGUUCUUCUCCUACCUUUGUGAUCCCCAAAUUAAUAUCAAAUGUCUAAUUAGUUUUUUUCUCCAUUGGUGAUCCCCAAAUUAAUAUCAAAUGUCAGACAAAGUAAAUCAAAGUACAAAUAAAGGUAAAACUGCUCUUGCAAAGGGCUAAAAUAGCAAUGUUUACUAGAAGCAUUCAAGAGCCAGUUCAAUUUCCUAUUUCUCAUUAAGUGGUAAAAUAGUAAUGCCAAGACCACAUCCCAGAAUCUCCAGGGUAACAGAGGCCCAACGAAGGGCUGCAGAGAAACUUGAAAGUAAACUGGCUUAGUUCUUUACACACAGAAAUUGUUCUACAAAGAUCUCUUGCAAAGCAGUGUCACCAGUAGCAUCACUGCCACUAAGCCAAUGUCCCAGGAAUUGAGGAAAGGAAGACACCCUUAAAGAAAAAAAUGGAAAAAAGCCACAAGGACUGGUACCACAGUAAAUGUCUGCCUGGGUCUCCCUAAACUGUCUUAGGUGAGCUUACCCAGGAAUGUUUCUCCCCUACAUGUUUGCCUUCCUUUGUUUAAGCCUUUAUUCCUCCUAAAUGAAAAUAAAUACCCCCGACUGGGGAACGUGGAGUUUGGAGUGUGUGCAAGAGUGUGGAUUCAUUAAAACUUAACGAGCAGAGUACUUAAGUGAAUGAGUUUACUGGAACUUGUUGGGGGAAGUAGGUUUUGUUAGCUGGU
rnacentral:lncRNA from 10 species